AUUGUAGUCAAAAAGUCCUACAGUAGCUCCCGAAGAGUCCAUCUGUACCUGGUUGCCAGGAUAAUCAAAUUGUAGAGAAUCAAGACCAACUUGUUCCAUGGCAUCUAGAUUCUGAUUUUCUGGAUUGGAAAAUUCUUCUACCAAGGGCUUGUGGGCUGUAGGAUUGGGAAGUGGGCCCAAUCCUUCUGUGGUGCUGGGAUUGGGACCCAAGCGUUCAGCUACUUCUGUUGGGGAGGCUUGUCGACUUCCAGGGGUACGAUUAAAAUCUUUGCAAUCGGCAUCCAUUCCAUUUGGCAAACCUCUGCCAUUUAUUUUAGUAACAUCCUCAUCAUCUCCUUGUUUAAGAUCUCUGUUUUUGUCCUCCUCAAAUGGAGAAGCCUUGCCUUUCUGAUCUCCUUUCUCAGGUCCAUCUGUUUCAGCAUCUCUAGUGCCAAAAGCUCCUUUCCUAAACCGGGAAUCCAAUUUAUCAGCUGGAGAGGAACUUAACACAUAUUCUACCAUGCUCACGCCAAGGCCACCACUUUCUGAUCGUGGAGACAAUACAGCAUUUACUUCACUGUUUCCAUGAAAACCCUGUCCAGGCUUUCUCUGUACCAUAAUAGGCUGGGACAUAGAAUGGUGAGGAGUUCCCCAUGCAGUCUCUCUCCACUCAUCACCAAGGAAUAUCCCUUUUUGUCCAUCUUUUGCUGAAUCAUCAGGUUCCCAAAACUUUUUGGCAGGUAAAAGCUCUCCCAUUCCCCGAGAUUCUAGGGCAAGAGCUUGAAACUCAUGAUUCAUCUCAUCCACAGAUCGAACCUGCAGUGUGAUCCUGAGGGGACGUGGGCAGUACUGGGCACUGCAGUGGUGGGGGUGGUGUCAGCAGUGCUCCCACCUACAUCAGGCCCUGCU
rnacentral:lncRNA from 1 species